rnacentral:rRNA from 1 species
UACAGAGGGGGCAAGCGUUGUUCGGAAUUACUGGGCGUAAAGGGCGCGUAGGCGGCCUCUUAAGUCGAACGUGAAAUCCCCGGGCUCAACCCGGGAACUGCGUCCGAUACUGGGGGGCUUGAAUCCGGGAGAGGGAUGUGGAAUUCCAGGUGUAGCGGUGAAAUGCGUAGAUAUCUGGAGGAACACCGGUGGCGAAGGCGGCAUCCUGGACCGGCAUUGACGCUGAGGCGCGAAAGCCAGGGGAGCAAACGGG